AAAACUCAUAUCGUCAGCUUCCUUUGGAAAACAAAUGAUUUGGCAACAGUGGACCUUCCUUCCAAACAGCAUGAAGCAACACGCACAGAAUAGAAACUGCCCACGCCCCGCCCCCACCUGCCGACCCACUCCUGACAAGGGACAGAAAGCCCCCCAGUGGAUCAGCAAGACUUCAAUAAUACAACCCAGUGCUCACCCAGUAGGCCUUAUUCAUCAUCCGACCUGCCUGAUUCCUGAAAGUAAUUGACGCUGGGACCCUCAGUGCAGGUAAUUGGAACAUGUGUGUGGUGUUUGUGCAUUUGCCUCCUGCAGAAGUCUCCUCACCCUACAUGGCCCAGGUGAAGGGAAAGACAGCACAGAUACCGGUGGAUAACUGAGAUCUUUGCAGGCUUAUAGGGCUUAUCAGGAAAGCAGCAGAGUGAGCAGGAGGCCUGGGAGCCGCUGCGGGGCCUGCUUUGGGCUAUAUUCACAAAACAAGGAGCAGAUGCAACAAGAACCCUGAAGAUUUCUAAGAAAAAUGACGAUAGCGUGUUCCACACAUCCCCUCAAUGGAAGGCCUGGAAACAACACACAUUCCUCCAGUAGAGUCGCUUAACCUUACUUGUUUCCACAAAGUGUCUUCUACUUCACCCUGCUGUUCUAGCCCGUUACUUCUUGGUGACCUGGGACAAGGUAACCUCUAGGCCCUCGUGGACCCCAGACUAACUGAUCCUGGAGAGCAAAACACUACAAAGCCAAGCUGUCUGUGGGCUGGUUCCCCGCACUCACGUGAUGAGGGUGAAAAGCAUACUGCCCGUUUUUUGUUUUUUCUUAGUUCUUAGAGGUGACCAAAGCUCAGCCUACAGUGGGGUCACAGACACUGGAGGAAUUUUCCCACAUCCCAAGCACUUAACACCAGAAAGUCCGUUCUGCUCCUGUUAGCUGUGAGAUCUUUGGCAACCUACAUUUCCUCUUAAAGCUGCAUCUAUAAAGCAGGCAAGAGACUCCUGACCCAGAUGCUAUUCUAAAGACUAAGCAGGAGAACAGGAAAAGUGCUUUGCACUGUCUGCAGCACAGAAAGAACUCUGUUCCCACAAUGUAUUGUUUAAAAUCUGAUAUCUACACAUCUUCAUAAAAGCACAGACUGUCAAGAUUGGAGAAGUCAUUGGAGACCCUAUAGUUCACCAAACUUAUGAGAAAAGCAGGUUCCUCCCCUGUAAAAUGAGGUGAUGGCCUCAAGCUGCAGCGUGUGGUCUCAUCAGUCUAGGGCUUUGUCAAUGCCUUUAUUGUGUGAAGCAAGGCACACCUGCAGCACCAGCACGGAUUUGCCCGUGGGGUAGGCCUUGCUGUUAUGCUAAACAGUCCCCUUCCCUGCAGUUGCGGCCCACUACUUAACAGUCAGCACUUAAGAGGCCCCUGGGUGAAGCUCAGAGACAAAUGAGCUUGGAACACAUGUGGGAGCACAGGAUUUACAUCCUUUCUCUCUUUGCCAGAGUCGCAGGCGUGUAAGGAGAGGGAUGGACAGCUCCGAGGUUGGAGUUCAGCGCAGCUGUGAAAACAGGCUGUCCCCGCAGCUUCGCCCAGCUCUUUGGCACAAAGAGGCCUUCCAGCAGCUUUGAGCAAAGGAAGCGCGACUCUGAAAUGCAGAAAGCAAAGCUAAAAGCUGCUCUUGUAUGACCUCAUAGCCAACCAAGUCUUCCUUCCUUUCUUUGAAGUUGGGUGAGAUUGGAGUCAUGUGGGCUUAAGGGGGGAAAUAAAAUCUCUAAAGAAGAUUUUGUUGUGCACCACGAUCUCCACCUCACAGGGCCUGCUGACUGCAAGCAGACUUAAAACACAGAAACAGCCAAAGGGUCUGCUGACAGAUGAAUGGAAAAAGAAAUUGUGGUCAUAUUUACAUGCAUAAUGUAGUAUUCUCCCAUCUUUUAAAAGGAGAUUUACUGUUUACAGCAGUAGAGAAGAACUUGGAAGGUAUUAUACAUGUCACUAUGUAUAUCAAAACAACUUGUUGUGCGUACUUUAAAAAUACACAAUUACAUAAAAGUCCGAGCAGGAUUUCACAAUCUAAAAC
ensembl:lincRNA